rnacentral:lncRNA from 1 species
UCCAGCCUGGGCAACAGAGAGAGAGAGACCCUGUCUCAAAACAAAACAAACAAACAAAUCAAUCCCAUGCCUUCCCCCUUUUCUUACCAACAAUGGCUCUUCCAGAUUUUUUCAGCAAAAGCUGAGUGACUGUGACCUGCCUGGCAAAAAGCUAAAACCUGCAAGUGCAAGAAAGGGGAAGGAGGAUGGGAAGAGAGAAUAAGGAAAAGCGAGGCAGAAACCCGAAAGACCAACUCUCAAGGGCGUGUCUCAUAAGAGUUCACUACAUUGCCAACACCAUCCAUCCCUUUACAGAAGGCCCUCACAUCUGUCUCUAUUUAAACUAAGAGUAAGGCCUCAAUGGACACUCACCUCUGUAUAAGACCUGAACAUCUGCUCAUGCCAACUGAUGCUGUAGCUUUGCCAUGACCAGACUGUGUGUGUUCAACUCUGGGACAACCACUAAACCAAGCAAGGAAGUGAUUACUCCAGGUAAAAGACCUGCGGGCCCCAGGUGAGCUUGCAUGCUUUGGAAGCAAACAGCUCCGUGUCAUCAACGGGGAAUGCUCUUGUCAUCUGUGAUCCAAGACAACUCCACCUUGUCUCCUUAAGUGGUUAUUCAGGCUCAGUGGUACACAUGCCCCCACUGAUAUGUGACCCAGCCCAUUGAGAAACGGAUGCAGGUUGCCCAGCCCCAGCCCUUAUUCAGUCAUGAAACUUGGGAUGUCCCAAAUUCCCAGAAGUCCAUUCUCCAGCAUUGCUGGAAAGGGUGAUGACCCAGCCAGAGGUGCUACUCAACACCGCUCUUUCUUUCCUUCAUUGUGUUGCAAACUUACUUAGUGGUCAUCUUUCAGAGGGGCUCCUGCUACUACCCACCUGAGAAUCCUGAUCCUCCCCCUAUCCCAGAAGCACCUGUAAACCUCCCCAGUCUUCCCAGCAGUGAGGAAUACAGAAGACUGACACCACGGAAUAGUCCCAGGGGAGCCUCAGCAGUUUUUGUAGCAACUGCAAGGGAUGCUGCUGUGUCUGAAACUGGCCAGUGAAACCCACAAAUCUAUUCACCAGCACCACACCUGGCUAGGGACGCUCCGAGAGCCGGGCUCCUUGCUGGUCUCCUGAGGCUGAGGUUCCCAGAGACAUGCUCAGUACAACCUGGCCGUGUUCCUUCAUCUCCCAAGUGGAUGAAUGAAGCUCUCCUCACAAGCAUGCACAACGGCUCCACGCCAAAGCUUCCCACAGAACACAGAACCUGGCUAUAAGGCUCCAUCAAACGGCAGGUUUCUCUCUCUCUCCAACUCACCCACUGAAAGUUUCAGAGACACGGGAGAGCAGAACCCUAGAACAAUGAGGCAAUCUUCAACAUCACAACUAACAACUCCUAUUUAUUAAGCAUUUGUAUGUGUAAAACUGUGCCAUGAGUUUUCCAUUCAUUCCCUUGCAGAAUCUCCAGCCUCAUUUAAGAGGCACUGAGAUCCAUGGAAGUCAAAUAACCAAGAGGUAACAACCUCAAAGUUGCAAGCUCAGAUAUGCUGCUAACUUCCUUGUCUGACACUAGGCAGCCCCCUCCUCUGUCUGUAACCAAAGAAAUUCAUAAAGUUCAGGCCCAAAGACGAACUAGCCAUCAACUAAAUCUAAGGAGUAACCUAUUAAGUACUUUUACAGAAACCAACAGAAAUAAAUUCUGCUUCAAA